rnacentral:rRNA from 1 species
GUCCAGACUCCUACGGGAGGCAGCAGUGGGGAAUAUUGCACAAUGGGGGAAACCCUGAUGCAGCGACGCCGCGUGAGCGAUGAAGUAUUUCGGUAUGUAAAGCUCUAUCAGCAGGGAAGAAGAUGACGGUACCUGACUAAGAAGCCCCGGCUAACUACGUGCCAGCAGCCGCGGUAAUACGUAGGGGGCAAGCGUUAUCCGGAUUUACUGGGUGUAAAGGGAGCGUAGACGGCGAUGCAAGCCAGAUGUGAAAGCCCGGGGCUCAACCCCGGGACUGCAUUUGGAACUGUGUGGCUGGAGUGUCGGAGAGGCAGGCGGAAUUCCUAGUGUAGCGGUGAAAUGCGUAGAUAUUAGGAGGAACACCAGUGGCGAAGGCGGCCUGCUGGACGAUGACUGACGUUGAGGCUCGAAAGCGUGGGGAGCAAACAGGAUUAGAUACCCGAGUACU